rnacentral:rRNA from 1 species
CGUAGGAUGCGAGCGUUGUCCGGAUUUAUUGGGCGUAAAGAGUUCGUAGGUGGUUCGUUAAGUCUGAUGUUAAAGACUGGGGCUCAACCCUGGGAGUGCAUUGGAUACUGGCGGACUGGAGUGCAGUAGAGGCAAGCGGAAUUCCCAGUGUAGCGGUGAAAUGCGUAGAUAUUGGGAAGAACACCGGUGGCGCAAGCGGCUUGCUGGGCUGUAACUGACGCUGAGGAACGAAAGCUAGGGGAGCAAAUGGGAUUAGAUACCCCAGUAGUCCUAGCCGUAAACGAUGGAUACUAGGCGUAUCGGGUAUCGACCCCUGAUGUGCCGCAGCAAACGCGAUAAGUAUCCCGCCUGAGUAGUACGGCCGCAAGGUUG